rnacentral:rRNA from 1 species
GUUGACCUCGGAUCAGGUAGGAAUACCCGCUGAACUUAAGCAUAUCAAUAAGCGGAGGAAAAGAAACCAACAGGGAUUGCCUCAGUAACGGCGAGUGAAGCGGCAACAGCUCAAAUUUGAAAUCUGGCCCUAGGCCCGAGUUGUAAUUUGCAGAGGAUGCUUUUGGUGCGGUGCCUUCCAAGUUCCCUAGAACGGGACGCCAGAGAGGGUGAGAGCCCCGUACAGUUGGACACCAAGCCUUUGUAAAGCUCCUUCGACGAGUCGAGUAGUUUGGGAAUGCUGCUCAAAAUGGGAGGUAUAUUUCUUCUAAAGCUAAAUACCGGCCAGAGACCGAUAGCGCACAAGUAGAGUGAUCGAAAGAUGAAAAGCACUUUGAAAAGAGGGUUAAACAGCACGUGAAAUUGUUAAAAGGGAAGCGCUUGUGACCAGACUUGCGUCCGGUGAAUCACCCAGCUCUCGCGGCUGGGGCACUUCGCCGGCUCAGGCCAGCAUCAGCUCGCUGUCGGGGACAAAAGCUUCAGGAACGUAGCUCUCUUCGGGGAGUGUUAUAGCCUGUUGCAUAAUACCCUUCGGCGGGCUGAG